AACUUUUGGUUCUCUAGGGUUGUCCCAUUCUCUCGUAGAAUGUUGUGACGAUUCUUGGGACCUUCCUGGUAGAAAGCAUUUCUGCCCUUUAUUGGGUUGGUUAUGUGAUCUUCCUCUUUUACUGUGAGAAAAACAAAGUGCUCAAAGCAGGCUUUACAGCUUGAAUGCGUUAGCAUGGAAUAAUAAGAUAGGACUUUGUUUCUAUUCUGUUGGCUCUGAGGAACAAAGUAAUGAUUGAUAGGGAUAGUUGGGGGUGCUCGUAUUUAACGGUCAGCGGUGAAAUGCAUGGACCCGUUAAAGACGAACCUAUGCGAAAGCAUU
rnacentral:rRNA from 1 species